GUUACCAAAAUGUUGUUUUGUUAAAUAGUAUGUUCUGUACCGUUAUACAAUGAAGCCGUUUUCACGUAAAAUACAUUGGCUAAGAGUCAAAGGAUAUAUCAAUCGUUAUGCUACAAAAGAGCACAUACAAAGCUUUAAGAAUGUCUCACUCACAACGAUUAGCUUUCUGGCAGGAUUUUUCUUUUACCAAAAGAUAAUAAAAGAUCUAAUCUUAGAGAAAGAGUAUGAUUGUCGAUGUGGAUCAAACCCAAAGGCUCAACAACGAAUUUCCAAAAAAGUAAUCAAAAAGGAAAGUUAUGAAACCCAAAGUUCACCCAAGUAAAUGUUUAAACUUGCCCCGUCGUAUAUUAAAUUUGUCUCCAUUUGCC